CCAAAAGUGGGUCGCGGGGCCGUUUUUGGUGGGUCGCGAGCCUUUUUCUAAAAAGAGAGAAAAAUAAAGAUAAUCCAAUUUAGUGGCGAGUCAUUGUAGUUCCCCUCCGCACCCGCAGGGGGUCGUCGUGUCAGCAGCGACCGGUGAGGACACUCGUAUUACUGUAGAAGAAACUGCAUGUUUUCAUAGCAACAGCAGCAUGGCUAAACGCAAGUACGACAGCGAGUACAUUAAAUAUGGAUUUUCCUACAUCGAAGACAAAGGAGUCCAAAAGCACGCAUCUGAAUAAACUUUUCGAGCGGUUUAACGACUACUUUCCCGAUAAACAACCCGAGGACGACUGGGUGCGCGACCCGUUUGGAAUAAACAUGGAAAGCAUCACGUUGCCUAGCAGCGAUGAAUGUCAGCUGGUGGAGCUAUCAUGUGACCGCACUCUCAGAAAGAAAUUCACAGAGGAUUACCACAGACCUGACUGUGAACACCGUCGACACCCACCUCAGGGAGAUGCUGUCUAAGAUCUCAAGGCUGCUUGGUCGUGGUCUUUCUGGCACGUACUCUUCCAAGAUGAGCCGGGAAGUUUAACACUGAUGGAAUGACACCAGGUCUAAGCCGACAAACUUCCACUUCCUCCUCAACCCAUAGUCUCUGGGAAACCUACAUGGAGUAAGAAAAGUAGACAGAGAAGUAAUUAAGUCUGUACACAACAUAUUAAAAAGAAAUCAUGCUAAUAAAUUAAGUACAAAGAACCGAAUUCGCCAAUAUACUGGAGACCAGAGCUAUUUAAUUUGAUAAGUAUAACCUUGUUUAGUAACAUUUCAAUUAUUUGAGAGCAGUCCUAAAGAACUGCCUGUAAUCCCAAUCAUAAAAUGGGUUUGGAGGAAGAACAUAGAUGGUAAUCUGGAUAUAUAGCAACGUUUUCUCAGGAAGUUUAGUUCGCCAAGGGUUCUUUUUAAAGGCAACAUUACUUAAAACAUUGUUCAUUUGUUAUCAUAUUACUUUGUGGAACAUUUUAUAGCUUCUAUAAUAUGCUCCCUCAACAACGUCCCCAAUUCAUGUUGAAUGUUGGUUUGAGAACGUCCCUCCUUUGUUGUUAAGGAACAUUCAGAAGGUUUUCUAGAAGAACGUUCUGUCAUGCGUUCCCUCAGCAACGUUUUAGCGGGAACUUUAGUUCCUUGAGAGAGAAACUAACACUAUUACAUCAUUUUGCUGUAACGUUCUCAAAACUCAAUGUUGAAUUAAGAAUGUUCUUAAUUUGUUAUCUUAUUAUUUUGUGGAACAUUGUGGGAACAUUUUAUUGAUUCUAUAAUAUGUUCCCUCAACAAUGUCCCCAAAACAUUAAUGUUAGUUUGAGAACGUCUUUCCAUUAUUAUUGAGGAACAUCGAGAAUGUUUUCUGGAAGAACGUCCUCUAAUGUGUUCCUUCAACAACGUUCCCAAACAUUAACGCUGGUUUGAGAACGUCUGUCCUUUGUUAUUAAGGAACAUUGAGAAGGUUUUCUAGAACGUUUUCAGCAGGAAGUUUAGUUCCUUGAGUGUUCUUCAUUAACCCUCCCGUUGUCCUCAUUUACGGGCACCAAACUUAUUGUUUCCUUGUCUGAAAAAAAUCCAAAAAUUCUGCAAAAAAAUUCCCCAAAUUUCUGAAAAUCUGCAAAGCCUUCAGGAAGAAAAUUCCAAUAAUUCCUUAAGUUUUCCUUAAAGGUUUUAUAUAUAAAAAAAAAACAAUAUAUCCCCCAAAUUUGGCAAGAAAUAAAAAAAUUUUAAAAAUUUAAAAAAAUAAAAAAAAAUAAAACUUGUUAAAAAAAAAUUUUUAAAAAUGAGUAAAAAUUUCCCCAAAAAAUCCUAAAAAUAUCGAAAAUGAUUACAGUAAAACUUCUAUUUUCUUUAAGAACAUUCAGGAAAAAAAUCUACCAAAAUCCAGAUUUUUUUGUGAAUGUUCUUAAACAUUUUUUUAAGUUUUUUUUUUCACCAAAAAUGUUUCAAAAAUUUCCCAAAAAUGUUGAAAAUGGGGAUGUUUUCAAUGUGAAAACAAUUUUUCCCCCCACAUUUUCAAACUUUAAAACGGGUCAGUUUGACUCGCAGGACGACACGAGGGUUAAUGGCAGGAUAACAAAAGAUGUUCUAAAAGUAUCUGGUGACAACACCAUUAGAUCAUAAUGUGCAAAUGUUCUCAAAACUGAAUGUUGAAUCGAGAACGUUCUUCAGUUGUUGUCAUACUAUGCUGUCUGUGUAGUUUCUCAUUCAUCCAGGUCAUGGUCAUCCAAAGUUGUUUAAAUCAAUCCAGCUGGACUUUAACUUUCUUAAAGUCCAGCUGGAUUGAUUUAAACAGCUUUGGGUCGUACUAUGCUGUUGAACAUUGUGGGAACAUUUUACCUGACUGACCAGGGGUCCGUUUCACGAAGCAGCUUUAGUGAAAACUCUGAGUUUGUUAACCCUGAAAUGAGGGAAACUCAGAGUUUUCCGUUUCACAAAGGGAGGUAACUCAAACCAGAGACAGAGGGGUAACUCUACCCUGUUUCACAAAGAGAGGUAACUUAAACUCUCGGUCAGUUACCAUAGUAACAGACUCUAUGAAUCUAACCUGGUCAGGACCAGGUUUAUCUCAGUAAACCUUGAGUUUCUCUCAGUCUCCGCCCUCUUUCAGUCACAUGCUAUUAGAUUCAUUCAUUCAUUCAUUCGUUCAUUCAUUCAUUCGUUCAUUCAUUCAUUCAUUCAUUCAUUCAUUCAGCAGGUGAGUUUUGAGCCUCGUUUUGCUGUCUAUAAAUGUCAUGUCCUUUUAUUAACGAUCCAGUGGAUGAAGGAGCAGCAUUACUGCACAGAGAAUUAAAUAUUCAUCAGGAGAUUGUUAUCAGACCUCACAUAGAUGUUCUUGCAUUUCCAGACAAUUAUCUUUUUGAACGGUACCGUUUCACAUCACAGUCCAUAAUCUACAUCCAACCUAAUCCAUCCUUACAUUUACAACAUCACCAACCACAGUCAUGCUCUCACAUCCCAGCAGAUAUUGUGUGUUGUACUGUGGUUCUUUUGGAAGUUUUUUAUAUAAUGUCAGAGAUGCAGAGCACUUCAGUAAGACAACUGUAUGCAGGACGGUCAGAAAAGUGUGUCUGGCCCUGAAAUGACUUUUACCAUCUUUGUGGUUUUCCCUGGACAUAAACCUGUCAGAGUCAUCAAGGAGGAGUUUCACAGGAUUGCAGGUGAAUGAUGUAGAGAUCUGCUAAAUUAAUUUUAAAUCCUAUUCUGUUAAUGACAUUGUGUUGCAACCUCAGACUGGGAUUAGUCAUUUUAAUUUCUUUUAGGAUUUCUCAGUGUGAUUGGCUGCAUUGAUGGAACACACAUCCCCAUCACAGCUCCCUCACAUAAUGAAGCUGAUCAUGUGAACAGGAAGUCCAUUCACAGCAUAAAUGUGCAGGUAGGUUACAGGUAGAUUGACUACGGUUUCAAAAUGUUAAAGACUGCAUCAUAGUUCAACAUCAGUCAUUCUCUGCACUGUCAAGAUCAUAUGUGAUGCUGCAUACAGCAUUUCUAAUGUGGAGGCCAAGUGGUCUGGAUCUGUUCAUGACUGGAGGAUUUAUCAUGAGUCUAACCUGAGCAACAGACUGCAACGUGGAGAGUUUGAUGGCCUUCUGCUGGGUGACAGGGGUUACCAUGCCAACCCAGGCUGAUGACCUCAUACCCUGACCCUGAACCAGACCCCCAACAGAACUUCAACCGGGCUCACUGCAGGAUGAGAGCCUGGGUGGAGAUGACCAUAGACCUGCUGAAAGCCUGUUUCCAGUGUCUACAUCACCUCAGGGUGACUCCUGAGAGGCCUGUGAUAUUAUUGUGGCAUGUGUUGUUCUUCAUAAUAUUACCACUAUUAGAGGAGAGCAACACUCUGCCCUACAAACUGAAGACCCAGAUGAUGACCUCAUCCACCUGCAGCUAUCCAGGACAGCAGAGCAGUCAGAGACACCAUAUGCAAUAAUCACUGCAGAGUUUAAGUCACCAUCAUCACCACCACAGCAGUGAAAUAAACACAUGACAUACAUUUCA